UACGUAGGGUCCAAGCGUUGUCCGGAGUUACUGGGCGUAAAGAGCGCGCAGGCGGUCGUUCAAGUCGAGUGUGAAAGCCCCCGGCUCAACUGGGGAGGGUCAUUCGAUACUGAUCGACUCGAAGGCAGGAGAGGGAAGUGGAAUUCCCGGUGUAGUGGUGAAAUGCGUAGAUAUCGGGAGGAACACCAGCGGCGAAGGCGACUUCCUGGCCUGUUCUUGACGCUGAGGCGCGAAAGCUAGGGGAGCAAACGGG
rnacentral:rRNA from 1 species